rnacentral:lncRNA from 1 species
GGUAUUCUGGAGUCUUUCUUGAGUCCUGAAGGAAGGAGGAGGCUCUAAAGAGAAUUUCUCUGUUCUUUUUUACACAGCUAUCCUAUUAGUUGCUGAGUCCCACACAUAAAAUGCCGUGAAUUAGCUGCAACUGGUCUGGCCUGUGUCUAAGGUAAUUCCCAGUACCAGAGAGAGAAUAUCUGCUUCAUAAAUCUAGACUGUUUGGGGAUCAAAACUGAAGAGAGGAAUUUCUGCUAUUUUAAGGUUGUUCUGGCCUGCCUCCGCCCGUCAUCGCUAUUGAGAACCAGUCCCCACCUUAAACUCAAGAAUGUUGCAGACCUAACACGUCUGCUGAUCACAACUGCAGCAGUGUGGAACAGAGAAAGAAGUGGCCUCUCCCAGCCUAGAUCCCAGCCGAUGGCGGACUUUG